rnacentral:rRNA from 1 species
GACGAACGCUUUCUUCUUUCUUAACACAUGCAAGUCGAACGGAAAGGCCCUGCUUUUGUGGGGUGCUCGAGUGGCGAACGGGUGAGUAACACGUGAGUAACCUGCCCUUGACUUUGGGAUAACUUCAGGAAACUGGGGCUAAUACCGGAUAGGAGCUCCUGCUGCAUGGUGGGGGUUGGAAAGUUUCGGCGGUUGGGGAUGGACUCGCGGCUUAUCAGCUUGUUGGUGGGGUAGUGGCUUACCAAGGCUUUGCAGGAUAGCCGGCCUGAGAGGGUGACCGGCCACAUUGGGACUGAGAGACGGCCCAGACUCCUACGGGAGGCAGCAGUGGGGAGUAUUGCACAGUGGGCGGAAGCCUGAGGCAGCAACGCCGCGUGCGGGAUGAAGGCGUUCGGGUUGUAAACCGCUUUCGCCUGUGACGAAGCGUGAGUGACGGUAAUGGGUAAAGAAGCAACGGCUAACUACGUG